rnacentral:lncRNA from 1 species
GUUACGCGAAGUUUAAAUUAGAUUGAAUUUCAGUUCGUCUGUCAGUAUCGCACGCACUGAGUGAGAAAAAUUUUCUUCCCUUUUUACAAACUGAGAUUUUACUACUCCUCAAGGAGCUCGCAGGAUUGCAAAAAGUUCACCCGUCUAAAUUCACACGCGUUGCUUGGAUCCAUUGGUCAUUAGCGAAAGAGGAGGGGCUACGUAGGAAAUAAAAAUACCCUCUCUGUUAUUUACCUUCAACAUUUCUGGAGUUAACUUUGCCUGUAUCAGAAGUGGUUUUAAAAGCGUUGGAGAGAACUUGAAAGGAUCAACAUGGGUAACGUGUCUGUUCUCACAAUCGCGUGGCUGUUGCUGUUGUCGAUGAGUUGGGAAGUGAUCUCAGCUGGGUCAGAUUGUACUAUCCAAACCAAUGGAUGCAGUGUCCCGCUUGGCUUAAAGGCUCCCUAUCAAACCAUCCUCACUCCGGCUUGCGUCAAACACGAUGUCUGCUAUUACUGCGGUGAACUCUACCGAUGGAAUCAGGAGCAAUGUGACAAGGCCUUUAAACGCGACAUGUACAAACUGUGCGAAAGAAAGGGAAAACGUUGGUUCAUUGGAGAUCUGCUGACCAAAGAAAAAAGGUGUAAGAGUUUGGGAGCGGAUGCCUACUACACUGCUGUUAGAAUCGCUGGUCAUCUACAUUGGGAGAAAAAUUCGCCUCCGUGGUGUCAGAAAGCAUGCGCCAAAGAUCUCGGAGAUCCUAAUAUCCUAAUAAGGCACUAAAUAUAUAAGAAUAUGCAGUUAGAUUAGAAAGGAAAGCUGUGGCGAUGUGUUGUACUAGAACGCGUAGAAAACUCGGACCAAUUGUGGGAAAUAAAGUAUCAGGUUAUCAGUGAA